rnacentral:lncRNA from 1 species
AUCACUGCUCCUGCUUCUCGCAUUCGGAGCUGUUCCAGUUUGCCCAGGGCUGAGCAGUUUUCCGGGACACACGACUUUCAGCAAUAAACCUGGGACAGCCCUGGGCAAACCAGAAUAACCGUCACCCUAGUGGGUGACUUGAUGACACUGCCUUUGCUGCUGCUUUACCUGCUGUAGCGAGCCGAUGCUCUCGAUUAGUCUGGCCAGCUGCCAUUCGGAACCCUUGUGUCUGACCACGUCGUUGACCACCAGGUCAAAUCCUGCUCCAAGAAAAUGGAAUAUUUCUGCACCAUGAGAACAUCGCUCUGGGUUUUUUCCUUACGUGAUCACCACCACGUGAAGCAACUUUUCUUGUCAGUCAGUCCCGCCAGGAUUCAAGAAGGUGUGAAAAGAGAAUAAACGAUGGUCCGCAAAAGAGCAUAGAAAGUGGCACCGUUUGGGGGAGGCUGUUCACCCGGAGCAGAGUGAUUUGAGAUCAGGGCUAACAGCUACCUUUAUCCUCGCGGAAGGAAGAGGUGAGACACUGACAUUCACAGGACACGUACAAUGGGUCAGACGCUUCUAUGCAGCUUUCUCCCGUGGAUCCCCAAGCCAUCGGUGAGAUCGGUGCCACCUCCAGACUUUCCCACGGGAAGACA